rnacentral:rRNA from 1 species
GGUGAACGCUGGCGGCGUGCUUAACACAUGCAAGUCGAACGAGAACGGGUUAUAGCUUGCUAUAAUUGUCAGCUAAGUGGCGCACGGGUGAGUAAUGUAUAGGUAUAUGCCUCUUACUAAGGGAUAACAAAUGGAAACGUUUGCUAAUACCUUAUACUCCUUAUUAAUAUAAGUUAAUAAGGGAAAGAUUUAUUGGUAAGAGAUUAGCCUGUAUUGUAUCAGUUAGUUGGUGGGGUAAUGGCUUACCAAGACUAUGACACUUAACUGGUUUGAGAGGAUGAUCAGUCACGCUGGAACUGAGACACGGUCCAGACUCCUACGGGAGGCAGCAGUGGGGAAUAUUGCACAAUGGACGAAAGUCUGAUGCAGCAACGCCGCGUGGAGGAUGACACAUUUCGGUGCGUAAACUCCUUUUAUAUGAGAAGAUAAUGACGGUAUUAUAUGAAUAAGCACCGGCUAACUCCGUGCCAGCCGCCGCCGUAA